CAGCCUGAUGCAGCCAUGCCGCGUGUGUGAAGAAGGCCUUCGGGUUGUAAAGCACUUUCAGCAAGGAGGAAAGGGUGUAAGUUAAUACCUUACAUCUGUGACGUUACUUGCAGAAGAAGCACCGGCUAACUCCGUGCCAGCAGCCGCGGUAAUACGGAGGGUGCGAGCGUUAAUCGGAAUUACUGGGCGUAAAGCGUACGCAGGCGGUUUGUUAAGCGAGAUGUGAAAGCCCCGGGCUUAACCUGGGAACUGCAUUUCGAACUGGCAGGCUAGAGUGUGAUAGAGGGUGGUAGAAUUUCAGGUGUAGCGGUGAAAUGCGUAGAGAUCUGAAGGAAUACCGAUGGCGAAGGCAGCCACCUGGGUCAACACUGACGCUCAUGUACGAAAGCGUGGGGAGCAAACAGGAUUAGAUACCCUGGUAGUCCACGCCGUAAACGAUGUCUACUAGGAGCUCGGCUUUUCGGAGCUGUUUUCCAAAGCAAACGCAUUAAGUAGACCGCCUGGGGAGUACGGCCGCAAGGUUAAAACUUAAAG
rnacentral:rRNA from 1 species